GUUUUGGUAGUGUAACCGGUUAGCACAACAAAUCAAGCAUCUGUAGAUACGGGUUCGAGUCCCAUCUGAGGUA
rnacentral:tRNA from 1 species